UCGGACGUGGCGCAUGGUGUGCACCUGUUCUCGAUGUAUAUUCCUGUUUGUUGACAGCAGAUUGACGGGGUUCGACUCCCCGCGUCCGAG